rnacentral:miRNA from 1 species
CCCCUGUGUGUGUAGAGGAAGAAGGGAGCCUGGGGGACUGACCGCCUCUCCCUCCUUCCACU